CAGGCUUAACACAUGCAAGUCGAGGGGCAGCAUGGUCUUAGCUUGCUAAGGCCGAUGGCGACCGGCGCACGGGUGAGUAACACGUAUCCAACCUGCCGUCUACUCUCGGACAGCCUUCUGAAAGGAAGAUUAAUACAAGAUGGCAUCAUGAGUCCGCAUGUUCACAUGAUUAAAGGUAUUCCGGUAGACGAUGGGGAUGCGUUCCAUUAGAUAGUAGGCGGGGUAACGGCCCACCUAGUCUUCGAUGGAUAGGGGUUCUGAGAGGAAGGUCCCCCACAUUGGAACUGAGACACGGUCCAAACUCCUACGGGAGGCAGCAGUGAGGAAUAUUGGUCAAUGGGCGAGAGCCUGAACCAGCCAAGUAGCGUGAAGGAUGACUGCCCUAUGGGUUGUAAACUUCUUUUAUAAAGGAAUAAAGUCGGGUAUGCAUACCCGUUUGCAUGUACUUUAUGAAUAAGGAUCGGCUAACUCCGUGCCAGCAGCCGCGGUAAUACGGAGGAUCCGAGCGUUAUCCGGAUUUAUUGGGUUUAAAGGGAGCGUAGAUGGAUGUUUAAGUCAGUUGUGAAAGUUUGCGGCUCAACCGUAAAAUUGCAGUUGAUACUGGAUAUCUUGAGUGCAGUUGAGGCAGGCGGAAUUCGUGGUGUAUCGGUGGAAUGCUUAGAUAUCACGAAGAACUCCGAUUGCGAAGGCAGCCUGCUAAGCUGCAACUGACAUUGAGGCUCGAAAGUGUGGGUAUCAAACAGGAUUAGAUACCCUGGUAGUCCACACGGUAUACGAUGAAUACUCGCUGUUUGCGAUAUACAGCAAGCGGGCCAAGCGAAAGCGUUAAGUAUUCCACCUGGGGAGUACGCCGGCAACGGUGAAACUCAAAGGAAUUGACGGGGGCCCGCACAAGCGGAGGAACAUGUGGUUUAAUUCGAUGAUACGCGAGGAACCUUACCCGGGCUUAAAUUGCAGAUGAAUUACGGUGAAAGCCGUAAGCCGCAAGGCAUCUGUGAAGGUGCUGCAUGGUUGUCGUCAGCUCGUGCCGUGAGGUGUCGGCUUAAGUGCCAUAACGAGCGCAACCCUUGUUGUCAGUUACUAACAGGUCAUGCUGAGGACUCUGACAAGACUGCCAUCGUAAGAUGUGAGGAAGGUGGGGAUGACGUCAAAUCAGCACGGCCCUUACGUCCGGGGCUACACACGUGUUACAAUGGGGGGUACAGAGGGCCGCUACCACGCGAGUGGAUGCCAAUCCCAAAAACCUCUCUCAGUUCGGACUGGAGUCUGCAACCCGACUCCACGAAGCUGGAUUCGCUAGUAAUCGCGCAUCAGCCACGGCGCGGUGAAUACGUUCCCGGGCCUUGUACACACCGCCCGUCAAGCCAUGGGAGCCGGGGGUACCUGAAGUGCGUAACCGCGAGGAGCGCCCUAGGGUAAAACUGGUGACUGGGGCUAA
rnacentral:rRNA from 1 species